rnacentral:rRNA from 1 species
UACGGAGGUGGCAGGCGUUACUCGGAUUGAUUGGGUGUAAAGGGCGUGUAGGCGGUGCGUUAAGUCGAGUGUGAAAUCCAUGGCUCAACCAUGGAACUGCAUUCGAAACUGACGUGCUUGAGUGUUGGAGAGGAAAGCGGAAUUCCCGGUGUAACAGUGAAAUGUGUAGAUAUCGGGAGGAACACCAGUGGCGAAGGCGGCUUUCUGGACAACUACUGACGCUGAAACGCGAGAGCUAGGGGAGCAAACAGG